ensembl:lncRNA
GGGGAGGUAGUAGUGAAAUAGCUUUGAUGGUACAUUGACCAGGCAUGUGAGGGCGAGAGAGAGUGAGAGACGGAGAGAGAGAGGGAACAUUCAAGUAAGCGGUCUACAGAGUGGAAGUUUGCAUACCAGGUGUCACUUCCAACCAGGCUGCUCCCUGUUCUAUAGAUGCUUUACUGAGAACUUCACUGAGAAAGACUGACAGCAACAACCAUUUCUCAAGUAAGGAAAAGCAAUAUAUGUUUAUCUGUGUUAAUGUAAUAAAUUCUCUCUUUUUUUCUUUUUUUUUUACAACUUUGCAAUCGUGAUGGCAUCUAGGUCAUGUCUACGUCAUUAUACGUGUUUUAUUGUAUUCAUCCAGAAAAGGGAGAACUGAGGAAAGAACAGCAUCCUGUAUGAGUUACCGAUAUGGGGAACUUCACCAGCUCAGAGAAAACUUUCAUAAUUCUGUUUCCAAGUUUCGGCUUUACUAAACUCUGAUAAGAGCAUGCCUGAUAAAGAUGUCUUAGCUUUAAAGGGGAUUCCCAGAUUUUAAAUUUCUGUAGUCCCACACAUUUUAAAGUUCUUCAUAUGAACAUUCUUUCACUGAAAUUUCAUGGAAUGAUAAGAUCAAUCUCUGACGUCAUUGAAAAGAAACGGAAAGCUGUGCGGAAUUAACGUGUAUGCGUUGCGUCCAUUCGUGAUGGGCUAAAGUUGGACAUAGUCAAAUACAACAUUAUCAGCUGUUUUAACAGGAGAUUUUUGGAGUUGUUUCUGCAAGCAUAUUUUUAUUUUAAUUUGUGCAAAUUUGGCAUUGUAAUACUCGACACCAUUAAAAUGUUUUUAAACGACCUAAUAUGUGAAACAAAAUCACUCUGCUUAAAUUCUUCUGAGGUUUGCACAGAAUUCAAAUGUGCUGCUAAAAUAAUUGUUGCUCAACAAUGCUUUCGUGGAAUAAGCGAUACAAACGCUCGAAAAUAGGAAGUUCUCUUAUUUGGUUCAUGUUCAUCAUCAUUACGUUUGAGUCUCAGCAGAAACACACAUGUAUUUAAGUUAAUAUGUAACUUAUUACCAAGAUGUUCAUGCCGUCCUUGAGCUUUGCACACAACUAGAUUUAAAAGAAAACAGAAGAUACAAACAACAGGUGGCUUCCACAAAGAAGUUAAUUAAUUUUAUCUGCAUUAGACUGGAUGUCACGUCACAGAACUGAUAGGAUCAUCAAAAAAAAAAAAAAAAAAAGAAGCAGUCUUUUAAUGGAAUCAAACAAGGGCGUACAACAGCUUUAUUAGAUCACUGGCUUUCUCUCAUCUUCUCUUUUAUUGUGUGUGCAAACAUUUUGUCAGCUGUUGUUUAAUCAUGUCAGACUGUUGGAGAGGGUAAAUACUGUGACUGCAGCAUUCACGCAACUUACAUUGUUUGCCUGUGAGAAAUGUAAUAUAGCAAAGGGGAUAUAAAUGAUGCCUGAUUUUCUUUGGUAAAAAAAAAUGUGGUAAAAAAAAGUGGCAGUGUGUAAUGCUGCUUGAUGACAAUUUUCCACAGGCUUCAAUGGGUAAACUCACAAAAAGACUUCAUGCAUGUAAUUCAGGGUGGAGGCUCUAAAUGUCUUAUUAAUUCUACCCCAGCCUGAAUUCCAACAAAGUAACAGCAGUUAUUGGCUGAAAGAGACCUAAGCAAAAAUGAUUAGCUUCAAACUGAUUCACUCCGGCAAGUCUACCUGUAUACUGUAGCAGCACACCUGAAGUACUAUCAGUCCCUCCAUUUUCUUAUAUAGUGUAUGCUGUGAGACAACUGAUGAUACCAUAUGAGAGUC